GAUCCCGUAGCUCAGCCGGACAGAGCGUCGGUCUCCUAAACCGCAGGUCGGAGGUUCGAAUCCUCUCGGGAUCACCA
rnacentral:tRNA from 1 species